UUGGCCUUUCUGAAAAGUUUGUGAUUUACGAAACACUAAUUACAUGUAUAAAGUUGUUGGAGUUUGUCCAUGGUGUAUAAAUAGGAAAAAGUUGAGGCGUGUGAUAAUAAUUCGUAAUUAGUGGAUACAAUUUUGCCUCGUUUAUCUCUCACAGUAUUCCGCGUGGCUCUGUCUAUCAGCCCUGUUGAGCGAUCCCCUGCCCUCUCUCCACCAAAUUCUUCAGAGUUGCAGGAUCAGGUAAAGAAGAAAGAAGAAAGAAAAGAAAACAGGCAUAGAUGGGGUUUGUGAUUGUGAUUUCGCUGCCACUACUACUAUUGGUCCUAAUCAUAGUGUUAGUUGCUUAUCUGCUACGAAGGAAUCGAGCUCGUAGUGUGCAAACACAAUACUACGGGCCUCCUGCUCCGCCAAUUGGUAGCGCCGCACUGUCAAUGGAGGGAAAAUCAUCACAGGUUUAGGAACUUACUGGGUCAAAGAUACAAAAGGUGAAUGUUGAUAGUGUCUACGAAUAUAUACUGUGAAUACAAAAACUUAUGUGAUAAGAGUGUCAGAUGUUUGUAUUCUGGAUGCGCUUAAUUUUGUGGUGGUUGAUAUCUCAUGUCUGUGAAAAACAGGAUAAAAAUGAAGUUAUUGGAGAAAAGUAAUUCUGAGAGGAGAAAGGAGUCCAAGUUGUGACUUAGUAAAGCAAUGUAGCUUAGUUAAGAGGAGUAAUUGGUGUUAGUGUGAGAAAUGUGACAAUUACUUUGAAACUGAGUGUUGUUGUUGUCCAUUAAUUUGUUAACUUGUUUUGGAUAGUGCAUGAA